UCUUUUCCCUUACAAAAAAAAAAAAAAAAAAAAAAUCACAUAGAAGCUCCUCUCCCUCUUUAAAUGUUUGACUUAAUGAUUUUAAAACUUUUGCUUUAUUCUCUUACACCCUGACAUAACUAAAUGUUGUCGCUCGCGCUGUAUGCUGGGAUUGCUGCUGCUGCUGCGGGUGAACGGUAACGGUACCGGGGGGGAGGGAGAGACGCCAUCUUUAAACCCCCACCAGAGGCCGUCAGCUACAGUUGAACACCGGGAGAUGAAGAAAAACACUAGAAUCACCACAACCUACAGCAGGAUCUAACUUCACAUCGGCAGGGAGAUGCUGUGAUAUUGUAUCCCCGGGUUAAGCCAAAACAAUACGGAACUGUCCGAUGGCGAUGUGAGGAGACGAUCACGGGAACCUUUAAGAAGUGUUGUUAUCACGGGCAGACAACAACAAUAGACGGAGACGGAAAGACAACAACAACGGAGCUAAGCUAAGCUAACGCGCUAGCAUAAGCUAAGCUAACGUUAGCUGCUACUUCGUUUGAAAUUUGGACAUAGCUGGUUCUAUACAUCCAGCUACCUAUUUCUUUUGCCACAUUUUAAGCAAUUUUUGAAAUAGAAUAAUUUAGAAAUUGUGAGCUAUAAGUCCCGACUUCUCCCCCCCCCCUAACCCUCACCCUCAGCGGCGGCCCGGCCAGCCGGAGAUGCGUGGAGAAGAUGUCGGUGUCGGGGCUGAAGGCCGAGCUGAAGUUUUUGGAGUCCAUUUUUGAUCCGAACCACGAACGAUUCAGAAUCAUUGACUGGAAACCCGACGAGCUGAGCUGCCAGUUCAACGUAACUGGAGAAAAGCUGUUAAUUAUCCACUGUAAUAUCACGGAAUCUUAUCCAUCUACGCCUCCAAUAUGGUUUGUGGACUCUGAUGACCCGAGCUUGGCGCAAGUUUUGGAGAGGUUGGAGGAUGUGAGAAAAGGCAGCACCCUGCUUUUGCAGCAGUUGAAGAAACUCAUUUGUGACCUUUGUCGGCUGUACAACCUUCCCCAACAUCCAGAUGUGGAGAUGCUAGACCAGCCCCUGCCUGCAGGCCCCGUGGGACAAGACCGAAAGCAUGGGACAGAGGAGGUCACAUCUGAAGAAGAGGAGGAGGAGGAGAUGGGAGAGGACAUAGAGGAUCUGGACCACUAUGAAAUGAAAGAGGAGGAACCUGUGGAUGGGAAGAAAUCCGAGGAUGAUGGCAUCGAGAAGGAGAAUCUCGCCAUCCUGGAGAAGAUCCGAAAGAACCAGAGGCAGGACCACUUGAAUGGAGCUGUGUCUGGUUCAGUGCAAGCCUCCGACCGCCUGAUGAAGGAGCUUAGAGAGAUCUACAGGUCUCAGAGUUACAAAACAGGCAUCUAUUCAGUGGAGCUGGUUAACGACAGCCUGUAUGAAUGGCACGUCAAACUAAGGACGGUGGAUCCGGAUAGCCCCUUACACAGUGAUUUACAAGUCCUAAAGGAAAAAGAAGGAAUGGAUUACAUUUUACUAAACUUCUCAUAUAAAGAUAAUUUCCCCUUUGAUCCACCGUUUGUCCGGGUGGUUUCGCCUGUGCUUUCUGGAGGUUAUGUUCUUGGAGGAGGUGCCCUGUGCAUGGAACUUCUCACCAAACAGGGUUGGAGCAGUGCCUAUUCCAUUGAGUCUGUCAUCAUGCAGAUCAAUGCCACUUUAGUCAAAGGAAAAGCCAGAGUGCAGUUUGGAGCCAAUAAAGUAAGUAAGUGAGAAUCAGUACAAUCUUGCCAGAGCACAGCAGUCCUACAAAUCCCUGGUUCAGAUCCACGAAAAGAACGGCUGGUACACACCCCCUAAAGAGGACGGCUAAAACAGACUCCUGCCUUUCCUGCACUGGGACCACAUGUCUUCGAUUUUUUUUUUUCCUUGCGACCAAUAUUUUUUUUCUAUCCUGCAAACCAUUUCGUUCUCUUCAUGAGAGUUUGAACUCCAAACCAAAUUCCUCAUUCAGUGCCCACCCAGAAACUAGCACAUAAACACACACACACACCCCCACCUGAAAUUUACAUCCAAGCUCAUCAGCUACUCGCAAGGGCGUCCUCUCCUCAAUAUUUAUCUCUCUGUACAUCUGUUGUCUGAUACAAUCUUUAAUUUUUCCAUUGCGACAUUCAUCCCAUACUCCAGGAAAACGGCGGACUAAAUAUCGCGCGCGCAAACUCACCCUUUGGUUUUGGCGUCGAGCAUGCCAAGGUUACUUGCUGGCUGUGAGUUGAAAAGUGCAGCAUGGCUUUACCCGCCAGCCAGCAGUGGCAGUGUGAUGCUCCAGUCGCCGGACACUGCCUCUCUGGCCACACACUGGAUCCCUGAUGUGAUGCAGUGGUGGACUGGAUAUGACAUUUAAAUGCUGGUGGUGGAAGAACCGCUACCUUUUCUCUCCAUGGACGGCCUCUGUAAUAUUGUGCUCAUGUAUUAUCUUUGCAAAGCCAAGAUCCCUCCUCUGGAAAUAACACGCUUCUGAGGCUAGCUCGCUUUCAAACCUCUUAUCUUUUUUAAAGCUUGAAGCCCUGAGGUGGGGAGGAAGAGAAAAGAGACUUUUUUGCAGCCUGGCUUGGGACAGCCCAUAAUGAAGAACAGCAUCCUGCUGUGCUCCAAAGUCGGAGACCGCUGUCAUCAUCGCGACCAGCAAACUCCCUGCAGGAGAGGUUUGGCGCAGUCGUAGGUUGGCAACCCAAGAAACCUGACCAGGCAAAAGCAGGGGCGUGUUUGGUUUGGAUCACACUGUAAUGUAGUUGAUUUUAACUCCACGUGUAAACAUGUAAAUUUGUAUUUCUGCAAAAGGAUUUAAUUGUUUAUAAUGUAACCUUGUCUGGGUCUUUGACUGGGCAAAGACUGUAUUACUAUAUACCCUUGACUAUUAACAGCAGGGGCACUGCAACUUCUCAAGACCCAUUUAGAAUAAGAAAAAGUUGCUUCAUGGAUACUCUUGCAGAAGGAAACAAAAGUACACCGUGAUCUUAUGUAAGCUUAAUGACUACUGCGGUUUUGUUCUUUUUUUUUUUUUUUUUUUUAUAAAUAAUAUUGAUUUGUAAUCCUCAUGUUAUUGGCAACAUCGACAGUACCAUUCCCCCUUUAUUUGAUGGCACCUCUUAACUACGACGGCCGUAACAAUAAUGGCAUAGACACAGCUGUUUUCUGGCAUUCCAGAGGUUUGACUACUCAUAUCUAAUCACUCAAACCGGAUGAACCUCAGUAAGGCUAUGCAGUGAAGACACAGUCUUGUGGAGUUUUGAAGAAAAUGAGUCUUAAACAGCUUAACCGUGUAGUCACCUGCUUAGUUCUUGUAGCCGGUUCACAUCCUGAGCACUUUGCCAAUCCUGCAGUCCUAACAGUCUGGAGAAAAAAAAGUGACCUUUUUACCUUCUGACUUUUCCUUGACCUCACGGCUGGGUUUUAAAAUAACGCAGCCCAGAGUUUCAAAUUCACAGCAAUAGUCUCGACCAUAUAUACCUUCUGGCUUCACACCUGGGAAGAUCGACUGGAGUCUGUUCCAUUUCCAGAUCAUUUGUGUAGGUUUGAUAAAUAUUUGUUCAGAUUUGCCACCGGAGGGACCCCAGCUCUUCCCAUUACCACCUCUCUGGUUACUAUUCAUAACCACUCCCGGCGCCGCUGCACCCCUCAGCGCGCAGGGUCUUUGAUGUAAUGUGAAUAAUAUGCAGAAAACUGUGUGGAGCAUUCCAAUUAAUGCAGUUACACGUUUGUUGUGGGUGUUCUAUUGUGUGGUUACUUGCAUUGUUUUUAAGUAUAUUGUCCUGAAAACCAGCAUAGAAAGCUUAGUUAUGCUAAUUCAUACAAGUCAUUCCUCAUUUUUCUUUAAGUUAGAGUUUCCUCAGUGAUACUAACCUCAGUCACAACACACCGAUAACUUUCAAAAACAGGUGGAGAUGGGUACAAAAAACAUUACAGCCUGUUCAUAUUCAGCACAUGUCUGGCAUUUGUUUAGACUAGACAAGAUAUGUCGCACUCCUUUCUCGUUUUCACCACAAGAGAAAAUCCCAACAUGACUAUGGAUCAUUGGCAUGGUUGUUAGCUGUUGUGAUGCCAUUGGUAACGUACUAAUCACUUCAUCCUGGUCACUUUGUCGAAGCCCACCCCCCCUGCAUUCCCUGGAGGAGCAAACUCAGGAAUACAUACUGCACACUUUGCUAAAGGAUUGCUUCAGAAUACCGUCAUGAAGUGCAAGAUUGAAUGUGUCAAUCUUUUUUUGGGCCAUUUUAAAAAAAUGAGGCGUCUGUUUUACCGAUAGGCAAAAAACACUUAGAUUUUCUGAAUACCUUUGAGGUGAAAUAAUUAAUUAAGCAAGUUUUUUUGGAAUGAUCAGAUGUGGAGCAGGGAUUUGCUCCCACCCUCAGAUUAACCUGCGCUUGAUGAGGGGUUCAGAGCACAUCUACCCUGUCUCUUUGAUAUUGCUGUAUUUUGCAUGUCAAUAUACUAUCAAUGGGUGUUUUUCCCCCAAGCUACUGAAGGCAAAAAGAGUGGUCGGGUAGGGUGGUUUAAAAAGACUAGAUGUAUCCGUUUUUUUCGAUAAUUUGUUUCCUUACCUUGUGGUUUCCUACAUCAGUGCACAGGAUAAUUUCUCCCCUGCGUGCCGCUUAUUGAACCAGGUCAGAUACUUUGAGAGACGCAUGGAAUUACAAGACAUCCCACCUGCUUGGAUUACCUUUUUAAAAGAUGCCAGGAUUCCCCAACAAAAGUAGCAGUUCAGAUUUGUGUGCCAUCAGAACAAUUGUAAACCCCACAUCUUUAACCUGACCUUUGGAAUAAUGGUGUACUCAAGUCUGCUUGAGCUUCUCUCACACGACUCCUGUUGUCUGACUAACAAAAAAAAAACCUUCUCUGCUUUGGCGAGCAACAUAUUGGUCCGAGGUCUGAAUUGGCCUGAUCCUGGGUUCUUUACCUUGCUUCAUUAACUGCAGUGGCCGGGUUAUAAAGUUAUGCACUGUUAGCAUGCUUUGGUUUGGUUUCAGUUUUUUUUUCCAUUGCAAGGGUGAUUUUGACCAUGUAAAGUAAUUUGUAAACUUGCAUCAAGUUUAUAAAUAAAGAAUUUUAUGAAAUA